AAUGUUCAGCCUGAGAAAUAGGAGGCUCAGAGGAGACCUUAUUGCUCUCUAAACCCAUGUCCCUCAGAGGAUGGUGACUCCUCAGACUCCUCAGCAGCCUGUGCCAAUGCCAUUGAAGACAGAGUUCAGGGCAUCCAUGCUGGGACAAGCAGAAGAGAACCACGGAGCUGUCGACUCCUCUACCAGCAGAGAACUGCAUUGAGCGUGAUAACAACCUUCUCCCAGAUGGGCGGCUGCCUCACAGGCAGAAUAAUCUCAUGCUCCAAACUGAGCAGGUGGGGUCUGAGCUCUGCCCUCAGAGAGAGAAGUGCAGUGCAGGCAGGCAGGCUGCCUGUGAAGGGCUGGCACUGGUGGCGGCUGGUGGUCCCCGCAGCCCCAAGGACAGAUUGUCAGGGCUCCCAGGAAAGCAGGGGAGCCACGGAGCAGCUCCCACAGAGCUGCACCUGCAUGCAGCCACCUGCAAAUGGGGACUUCAUCGAGCAACACAGGGACAACUUUGGUGGGACAGGAAGACCCAGGAGCUUUCCGCAUUGUCUGAGUGCCCCCACGUUCAUGUGACUGCAGGCUAUCAAGCAAUGCUUGCGACUGAGGAGAUGGUGGCAGCGAGGAGCAGCAGCACCGGAGUCAGAUGCUGAGACACAGACACACAGGCCAUGAUGCUUCAGCUCCAGCAGGAACAGCUGCAGCAAGGCGGACCAGGAGCUGCAGCAGCUGGUUCUAUCGGCGCAGCCUGAGCACAUGGCUACUCCAAGCCCUGGCUUCUGGGAUGCUGCCUGGAGGGACCUGGCAAAGCUGGUGGAGCAGGGUAGCCUGUCCUGCUGCAGCUCCAAUGCCCAGCCAGAAAACCAGCGCGGAGCAUCAGCUCCAGAGUCAGGUGACAACAGACAGACGUAUGGGCCAAAGUGCUGCUGCCCCAGCUGCAACCACUACAGUAAUGCUGACCAGGAUCUGCAGCAGCUGGUGCAGUCAGCACUGUGUGAGCCCAUCGGCAGUCUGGACCCUGACUUCUGGGAUGCUGCCUGGAGGGACCUGGCAGAGCUGGUGGAGAGUGGCAGUCUGUCCUGCUGCAGCUCCGCCAUUACCCACAACAAAGACCAGCAUGGAACAUAAGCUGCGGAGUCAGGUGACUCUUCUGUAGGUCAGCCCCAAUCUGCAUGAUUGCCCUGAUGUGUGCCAGGCCCACGGGAGGAGCCCAGCCCUGGAGCAGGACCUUGCACACUGCAGGUCAGCCAGUUGGGCCAAGAGUGUCCCCAUCCUGCUGUGGCUCAGGCUCCCUCCCUGCUUUGGAGGUGACGACAGACAGAUGUAUGGGCCAAAGUGCUGCUGCCACAGCUGCAACCACUGCUGUAGCAAGGCGGACCAGGAUCUGCAGCAGCUGGUGCAGUCAGCACUGCCUGAGCCCGUCAGCAGACUGGGCCCUGACUUCUGGGAUGCUGCCUGGAGGGAUCUGGCGGAGCUGGUGGAGCAGGGCAGUCUGUCCUGCUGCAGCUCCGCAAAUGCCCAGCCAGAAAACCAGCGCGGAGCAUCAGCUCGUGAGUCAGAUGCUGAGACACAGAGGCAUAGGCCACGGUGCUGCUGCUCCAGCAGGAACAGCUGCAGCAAGGCGGACCAGGAGCUGCAGCAGCUGGUGCAGUCAG